AUACGUAGGUGGCGAGCGUUGUCCGGAAUUAUUGGGCGUAAAGAGCACGUAGGCGGCUUAAUAAGUCGAGCGUGAAAAUGCGGGGCUCAACCCCGUAUGGCGCUGGAAACUGUUAGGCUUGAGUGCAGGAGAGGAAAGGGGAAUUCCCAGUGUAGCGGUGAAAUGCGUAGAUAUUGGGAGGAACACCAGUGGCGAAGGCGCCUUUCUGGACUGUGUCUGACGCUGAGAUGCGAAAGCCAGGGUAGCGAACGGGAUUAGAUACCCCGGUAGUCCUGGCCGUAAACGAUGGGUACUAGGUGUAGGAGGUAUAGACCCCUUCUGUGCCGGAGUUAACGCAAUAAGUACCCCGCCUGGGGAGUACGGCCGCAAGGUUGAAACUCAAAUGAAUUGACGGGG
rnacentral:rRNA from 1 species